GGAUGGAUGGGGCUCUGUGCUGGGCUCCUGUCUGACUCGUUCUGCUCUCCCUCCUCUGCUCCCACAGCCUCAAGUUGUGGCUGCAGAAGGUGGGGAUCCUCUCGCUGCCGCGGGUGCGCGUGUGUUCACCAACACCACUCACAAGAGCUUCCCCAGCUGAAGUCCUUGAGCUUUGAGGGAACGCUACAAACAGAGAUGGCUUAAAUAUUUGGCAGCAGCGAGGAUAAGUUAUCUUUUUCUUUUAAAAAAUAACACGUUAUGCAAGCAGGUUUUAUUCUAUUUAUGGGUAUUUGUUAUUUCUCGCUGUAGAUGAUAAAAUAAUCUUGUUGGAUCCAGUAGGAAUGUAAAUUUAACAUUUCAUAUGUGAAUUGAAUGACACAACGUAUCUCAGAUAAUUUCUAAAAGCACAUAAGAAAACCUCGUUCCUAUGUUUGCACAUCCUAUAGUAAUUAGCACGUGAGUAUUUUCCAUUUUUAGUCUUUGAAAAAAUACUUUUAUACUGGUUAAAACAAGUGCAUAUUUUUCCAGCAUCCUUCCCAGUGUGAUUGCUGUUCUUAAAUAUUUGUAUGCACAUUUGUAUGUAUGUUUGUCGUGCCUGUUAGUUCAGUUUUGUAGAACAAAUGGAGAAAACGAAAAUAUAGAUUUUUAACCACAACAAGAUUCCCUGCAGACAGGAUUUUUUGUAGAGCUAUAGAAAUGCAGCAGCUCGGAGGAAGAGCACAGCAUGUAAUUCUACAUACAUCACAGCCUUUUUUUAUUACUCUUACCACACCAGCUGAAUGGAGAAUUACAAAAAACUAUGUCCCUGUUUCUGUAAAGAUUUUUAAAAGAGGCUUAACUGUAGGCAUACAGGUAACUUCAAAGGGAAUUAAGUGAAAAUAGAAGAUGAGAGUAGUUCAUGACAGACGGAUGCAUUAGAGAGAAUGAUCUACACAAAACUUGGUCCAAAAGUUCUGGAAUUACUUUAAUUGACCUUGGUGAGCUAAACAAAAGCUCAUUGGUAAUUAUGUUCAGAAUCUAAACCCAGGACUUUUACAGAAUAAAAGGCAGUGUAAUGGAUAUUCA
rnacentral:lncRNA from 1 species